rnacentral:rRNA from 1 species
UCCAGGCUCCUACGGGAGGCAGCAGUGGGGAAUAUUGGGCAAUGGAGGCAACUCUGACCCAGCAAUGCCGCGUGAGUGAUGAAGGUAAUUUUAUUGUAAAGCUCUUUUCUUUGGAACGAAUAAAUGACGGUACCAAAGGAAUAAGCCCCGGCUAACUACGUGCCAGCAGCCGCGGUAAUACGUAGGGGGCAAGCGUUAUCCGGAUUUACUGGGUGUAAAGGGAGCGUAGACGGCAUGGCAAGUCAGAUGUGAAAGCCCGGGGCUCAACCCCGGGACUGCAUUUGAAACUGUCAGGCUGGAGUGCAGGAGAGGUAAGUGGAAUUCCUAGUGUAGCGGUGAAAUGCGUAGAUAUUAGGAGGAACACCAGUGGCGAAGGCGGCUUACUGGACUGUAACUGACGUUGAGGCUCGAAAGCGUGGGGAGCAAACAGGAUUAGAUACCCGCGUAGU